AAUGAGGAAGCUCUCUGUGUACUGAUGGGGACAGAAGUUCCAGGACAUUUUGUAAGGUGGCUGAAAAACAACACAGAUGCUUCCAGAGUCAAUCACUGAGUGGUGGAUCUACGGCCAACCACCCAUUCUCUUCAGUCACUGAGAUGAUAUGAUGCUGCUGGUCCAAGGACUACAUUUCGAGAACCCCAACCACGCAUGGAUCGUUGUCAACUAUGAAUCACAAGAUUUCCAGGGUUUUGGCUGCUGCCUUCCCUGCAAGCCCUGCCAUCCACUGAGACCCAACCUCAGCCAUUCUUGGCACAUCAGCCCAUGAGAAGUCUGCCACUCUUUCUUCCUAAGCAAAGCAGCAUCCUUCAGGGCCUGGAGCUCCUCGACACAAAAGUCAUUUUUGGGAGGAAAAUGUGGAUAAAGUCACUCCUGGGCCACCUUUCUGUGAGGCUGUAGGGAAGCUGCCUACUGGUUUGAGGAGAGGCUGCUGGGUUCUUUCCUUUACUAAGGAUUCACUUAAGUCAGCCCUCCAGGAUCCAAAAAAGAGCCAGAAAAGAGGCAGCAAAACAGCUGAGGCACAGACUAGACGGUAGUCCAAGGACUAAGACCUGUCCAGCCAGAGGGACCAGGUGUCCAGACCCCGGACUGUUUUCAAUACAGUUAUACAAUGAAAUCAAAUAAGCGGAUGUAUUGAUUGCUUGGCAA
rnacentral:lncRNA from 1 species